GUGAGGUGAGAUAACUGCUUGUGUGAACUGAUUACUCCUGUGUCUUCAUUAGCCCAGGUUGUGGUGACCUCCCUCUUCAAGAAGCGAAAAAAAAACCGGCGUGUCAGAAGUGAAAGAGAAGCAGGAGGACCUUGAACGGGAAGGGGCCCCUCCCCCACACCGAGCCGGCUGGCGUGUCCCCACAGUGUGCGUGCUGGAGAAGGAAGGACGGGAGAAGCGAGGAGAGCCAAAGAUCAUUUCCAGAAGCGUCACAGCCGCCCAGCCACCGCUUGGCGGGUUACGGCGUACCAGCCUCUGCCUACUGCUGCUUAUUCACCGUAACGAUGUUAAUGAGACAGUCUGGCCUCGCUGUGCCUUCAUUACCGAUGCCACACGACUGACGUAGUCCUUACACAGGACAGGAAGGUCAUGCGAGGAAUGCAGACAGUGAAGCGGACCCUCCGAGAGCCAAGUGGGAAUUAUUUGCCAAACAUUUUGGACAACAUCGGUAGCAACUGGCUUUGCGGUGCACCAUGCAGUGUGAUUACAAAUGACUCAACGGGACCGUCUGGUAAACAAAAUGAAAGAACUCGCGCGCACAACUUUGAAAGCUUCGGUGUUGUAAACACUGACUGCCAAGCAGCCGAAGUUAUCGGGCCGAUAGCCAAGCGAAAUUCUGUGUUAAUGUGAGAGGUUUAACUUUUCAAUGUUGGCCUACAGCCAGAGAUGGACAGACUGUUUGGAAAAGUGAAAAAUAAAACCAUUCUGACGAGGA